rnacentral:rRNA from 1 species
UGAGGAAUAUUGGUCAAUGGCCGCAAGGCUGAACCAGCCAAGUAGCGUGCAGGAUGACGGCCCUCGGGUUGUAAACUGCUUUUAGUCGGGAAUAAAAGGGCGCACGUGUGCGCCGUAUUGCAAGUACCGUCAGAAAAAGGACCGGCUAAUUCCGUGCCAGCAGCCGCGGUAAUACGGAGGAUGCGAGCGUUAUCCGGAUUUAUUGGGUUUAAAGGGUGCGCAGGCGGCGCGCCAAGUCAGCGGUCAAAGUUCCGGGCUCAACCCGGUGUCGCCGUUGAAACUGGCGUGCUCGAGUGCGUGCGAGGAAGGCGGAAUGCGUUGUGUAGCGGUGAAAUGCAUAGAUAUGGCGCAGAACUCCGAUUGCGAAGGCAGCUUUCCAGCGCGCUACUGACGCUGAGGCACGAAAGCGUGGGGAUCGAACAGGAUUAGAUACCCUGGUAGU